GGGAGGCCGAGGCUUGUGGGGUUGCGCUCACGCUCGCACCGGCCGGCCCCCGCCCUGACCGCGAACGCUCAAGGAUGCUGCACGCAGGUUUUUCCUCAAAUACUAGGCUUUAGAAUUUCACCUUAUGAAUUUUGGGAGAGAGGAGCACAGUUCAGCCCAUAACUAACACACGACGGAAUGAAGUUGAUAAUAGUGAGACCUUGUUGGUACAAGACUCUGUAACAUAACCUGCGCUUCUCAACAAAGAAUUGCUUUUCUGACUUCUGCACUCAAUAGCAAGACAAAUCUCUCCUCUGUCUUUUUCUUAUCAGACUACUCAACAUGAAGGCAAUAAGAAUGAAGACCUUUAUGUAUAAUAAUUGACUUCCACUUAAUAAAUAAGGUUACUUGGUACACUGGUCGACAAAACCUUGAAAUGUUGAUGUUUAAGGGCUGUUGAUUGCUGGCAACAAAGAAGUCCAACUGUGCUGGUACCCGAGAUAGCGUCUCCACAUUUUCUUCCAGGAUCAUCACCUUUGUUGUAAAUAGCUCCCACAUAGUGUGAACAGAAGUCAUAUGUUUUAGAUUUUCUGCCUUGGCACCCAGG
rnacentral:lncRNA from 1 species